UUCCAUUCUCACUAUGUCAAAGGCUCGCUAAUGUUGAAGCCUCGCCGCCCUUGAAGGCUCACCGCCCUUGAAGGCUCACCGCCGUCGAAGGCUCGCCGCCGUCGAAGGCUCGCCGCCGUCGAAGGCUCGCCGCCGUCGAAGGCUUUGCCACACUCAGCCGUAGCCGAACUGUCGAAGGCUCUACCACCAUCGUCGAAGGUUUUGAGAACAUUUGGAAAGAGAAGCAAAGGCAUAACACUCUGCAACCUAAAGGAUGUGGUGAACUCAUAUCUGGUCUUAGGAAAAUCCAUGGAAGAAGUGUUAUCCAUUUAUUACACUAUUGAAAUUUUAUACAUGGCUGAAACUUCACAUGGUGUUGGCUUGAUCCAUGGUGAUUUCAAGGACAGGUUGUUUAAUGUACUUGAGAGAAAAUAAAAUGAGAUUGAUGCGAUUUUUCUAUGUUUAGGAUGAGUUCUUGAGUUUGUAAAGACGUGAUGUUAUUCAGCGUGUUAGAUAUGUUUUAUCACUUCUGCUAUGCUUUUAAUUAUUGUGUCUUUCAUUGGCUUUGUAAAUGUUCUUUCUGAAGAAAUUGAUUUUCUGAUUUUGGAA